UAGAGUUUGAUCCUGGCUCAGGACGAACGCUGGCGGCGUGCUUAACACAUGCAAGUCGAACGAUGAACUGGAGCUUGCUCCAGGGAUUAGUGGCGAACGGGUGAGUAACACGUGAGUAACCUGCCCUUGACUCUGGGAUAAGCGCUAGAAAUGGCGUCUAAUACCGGAUACGAGCUUCAGCCGCAUGGCUAGGAGUUGGAAAGAAUUUUGGUCAAGGAUGGACUCGCGGCCUAUCAGCUAGUUGGUGAGGUAAUGGCUCACCAAGGCGACGACGGGUAGCCGGCCUGAGAGGGUGACCGGCCACACUGGGACUGAGACACGGCCCAGACUCCUACGGGAGGCAGCAGUGGGGAAUAUUGCACAAUGGGCGAAAGCCUGAUGCAGCAACGCCGCGUGAGGGAUGGCGGCCUUCGGGUUGUAAACCUCUUUUAGUAGGGAAGAAGCGAAAGUGACGGUACCUGCAGAAAAAGCACCGGCUAACUACGUG
rnacentral:rRNA from 1 species